GAUCCCAAGGAAGCGUAGGGUGUCGGGCUGGGCUCACGGAAAUGCCCACGGGGUUGGGCGCCUCGAGCUCCCGCGUGUCAGUGCCUGCGACGCGAGUAGGGAGCGACUCUUACCCCGAGGCUGCAGAGCUGGAGGCGGCGGACGGCCCCGGCGGCUGCCGUAAUCCAUUAGGCUCUGCCCGGCCACGCGCGCUCUGGGCUGCAGGGACCCGCUCGUGUUGAAGGAGACGCGUCGGGACCGCGUGGCUGCGGUCACCCGGAGCAGGCCGGCCGCUCCUGGAGGGCGGUGUCAGCGCGGGUGGGGGCCUGAGCGCCCGGAUUCCUUCCGGGCUCCUCCACCCGCCGGGCUUCCCACCAGCUCCGGAGGCUGCAGCGACACAGCCCCAGCGAAGCGGCGGGGCCAAGUUGGGCGCCCGGCGGGAGCCGAGGCCGCCGCGAACCCCGCAAUCGGCGACUGGAGCCCACCUCUGCAGAGACAAAGCUCCAGAAGCCAGAAGAUUCAGCAAGUACCGGAGAAGCAGAGGACACAAGAGUGGAUGUGAUAGACAAGCACGUGCAGUGAAGAAUAAUAAAAUGUUUUUAAAUACACAAGAAAAUGGGGCAAGUUGUUGGACCCUCCCAAGUCAGAACUCUUCAUACUAGUCUACAAAUAUGGAACUGAACAGAUUGUUGGAGUUUAAGAUUUUUUAAGAAAAUCUCACUUGUCAUUUCCCUCAUUAUCCUCUUCCUCUACCCAAAUAAAAGCAGAGCUUUAUGACCCUC